GCACUGGUGGUUCAGUGGUAGAAUUCUCGCCUGCCACGCGGGAGGCCUGGGUUCGAUUCCCAGCCAAUGCA
rnacentral:tRNA from 1 species